UACGUAGGGUGCAAGCGUUGUCCCGGAAUUAUUGGGCGUAAAGAGCGUGUAGGCGGCUUGGUAGGUCUCGCGUCAAAACCUGAGGCUCAACCUCAGUUCGCGUGGGAAACCACCUAGCUAGAGUCCGGAAGAGGAGAACGGAAUUCCCAGUGUAGCGGUGAAAUGCGCAGAUAUUGGGAAGAACACCAGUGGCGAAGGCGGUUCUCUGGGACGGUACUGACGCUGAGACGCGAAAGCGUGGGGAGCGAACGAG
rnacentral:rRNA from 1 species